UACAGAGGGUGCAAGCGUUAAUCGGAAUUACUGGGCGUAAAGCGUGCGUAGACGGUUAUGUAAGUCAGAUGUGAAAGCCCCGGGCUCAACCUGGGAAUUGCAUUUGAGACUGCAUAGCUAGGGUGCGGAAGAGGGAAGCGGAAUUUCCGGUGUAGCGGUGAAAUGCGUAGAUAUCGGAAGGAACACCAGUGGCGAAAGCGGCUUCCUGGUCCGGUAUUGACGCUGAGGCGCGAAAGCCAGGGGAGCAAACGGG
rnacentral:rRNA from 1 species